rnacentral:rRNA from 1 species
UGGGGAAUAUUGCACAAUGGGCGCAAGCCUGAUGCAGCCAUGCCACGUGUAUGAAGAAGGCCUUCGGGUUGUAAAGUACUUUCAGCGGGGAGGAAGGGAGUAAAGUUAAUACCUUUGCUCAUUGACGUUACCCGCAGAAGAAGCACCGGCUAACUCCGUGCCAGCAGCCGCGGUAAUACGGAGGGUGCAAGCGUUAAUCGGAAUUACUGGGCGUAAAGCGCACGCAGGCGGUUUGUUAAGUCAGAUGUGAAAUCCUCGGGCUCAACCUGGGAACUGCAUCUGAUACUGGCAAGCUUGAGUCUCGUAGAGGGGGGUAGAAUUCCAGGUGUAGCGGUGAAAUGCGUAGAGAUCUGGAGGAAUACCGGUGGCGAAGGCGGCCCCCUGGACAAAGACUGACGCUCAGGUGCGAAAGCGUGGGGAGCAAACAGG